UUUUUUCAUGAGCGUUGUAUUCAUGAGAAUUUAGAGAAGACUGAAUACGUUCUCAGGAACAGGAUGUGAAUGAAGCCUACAUAUACAUAAAUCAAAAUGACACAGCUUUAUAAUUAAAUUGAAACAAAAGUUAGGCGUUCGCUAUCACGUGACCAAACUGUGGAGUGAGCUGUCAGAUUCAAUUGCUCACAGGUGGUGAUAAUGCAGGGCAAGCAAUAAGAAGUGAAAUUUAAAUUUGUGGAUUAAACACUUGCUAUACAGCUGCAUUUAGAAGCGAUACACGAUUGUAACAAAGAAAUUAAGUCAGAGACUGCAAGGAAAACAAAUGUUGUGGCGGUACAUGUAACAAUGAAAUCGAAGACCAUGCAUAAAGAAGUGUAUAAAGUAUGAGUCCGUAUGACAAAGAUCAAGAUGAAGAAAACGGGAGGGGACGAAGGGACGGAAAAAAGAGCGGGAAUACAACAAAAGGACUAUAAUAAAGGAAGUGAGCCCUGAUUAAGAACUUUUAAUUGAUAAUUUUUCAUAAUUUACCUCUAUUGUCUAUUUCAAAAUUUAUUUUGUAAAUUAUGAUUGAAUUGAUGUAUAUAAAAUAAUAUCACAGUGAA